UACGGAGGGGGCUAGCGUUGUUCGGAAUUACUGGGCGUAAAGCGCACGUAGGCGGCUUUGUAAGUUAGAGGUGAAAGCCCAGGCUUAACCCUGGAAUUGCCUUAAGACUGCAUCGCUAGAAUCGUGGAGAGGUGAGUGGAAUUCCGAGUGUAGAGGUGAAAUUCGUAGAUAUUCGGAAGAACACCAGUGGCGAAGGCGACUCACUGGACACGUAUUGACGCUGAGGUGCGAAAGCGUGGGGAGCAAACAGG
rnacentral:rRNA from 1 species